CGACCCUUAAGCCCUGUUGCUUAGCGUUGGGAGUCUGCGUCUUCGGCGCAGUUCCUUAAAAUCAGUGGCGGAGUCAGGGCACCCUCUAGGCGUAGUAGUUUUAACGCCUCGCCUCUAGAGUGGCCCCGGCCUCCUGCCGUAAAACCCCUACAACUUCUAGU
rnacentral:misc_RNA from 1 species